GACGAACGCUGGCGGCGUGCUUAACACAUGCAAGUCGAACGGAAAGGCCCUGCUUGCAGGGUACUCGAGCGGCGAACGGGUGAGUAACACGUGGGUGAUCUGCCCUGCACUUCGGGAUAAGCCUGGGAAACUGGGUCUAAUACCGGAUAGGAGCCAUUUUUAGUGUGAUGGUUGGAAAGUUUUUUCGGUGUAGGAUGAGCUCGCGGCCUAUCAGCUUGUUGGUGGGGUAAUGGCCUACCAAGGCGGCGACGGGUAGCCGGCCUGAGAGGGUGGACGGCCACAUUGGGACUGAGAUACGGCCCAGACUCCUACGGGAGGCAGCAGUGGGGAAUAUUGCACAAUGGGCGCAAGCCUGAUGCAGCGACGCCGCGUGGGGGAUGACGGACUUCGGGUUGUAAACUCCUUUCGCUAGGGACGAAGCUUUUUGUGACGGUACCUAGAGAAGAAGCACCGGCUAACUACGUG
rnacentral:rRNA from 1 species